CGUAUCUGAAUCAAUUCGGAUUCGGAUGUGAAUAAAAAUUUAAAAAUCCUACUAAUAUCCGUAUUCGUAUCUAUAUUCGUAAAAAAAAUAAAUAUGAAUAUGAAUAGACAACUAUCCGAUCUGCAUUUAAAUAUCCGAAUCUAUAUAUAACUCUAUAUAAUUUUAUAUAAUAUUAUUAUUUUUUAAAAUAUAUAUAUAACCAUAUAAUCAUAUUAUUAACUUGAUUUAUCAUCUAUUUAGUAUUAUCUUUAAUUUUUUAGUCAUAAAAUUUAAUUAUCUAAGUAAUAUCUA
rnacentral:lncRNA from 1 species